GAUAAUCCUGGGUGACUGGGAAAAAAGGGCUGGCUAGGCUGAUUGGCCAGCCCCCUCCAAGACAGUAUGGCGAACCGCACUUUCGGGUGAGGGGAGACAAGCUGCCGAUUGGAGGCAGGAUUCACCAGGGUCGCAGGGAUGGAUUUCCCGCUCGUUUCCGGUUUCGGCUGGAAACAAGGUACCGGUUAGUUUGCUUCGGUUUGCUAAAAAGUACUUGGGGGGAGUCGAUCCACAAAAAACUGCGGGCUUGGCCGCGAGGGGCGAACUAGGAGCCGCCCCGAGCCCGGUUGAAGCAACAGCCGGAUCAUGCGAACCUUCGGGCGAACGUGGUGGAGUCAGGAUUCGAGCCUGCUCCGGGCUAGAAUCCAAUCAUAGUUACCUAACAGGUAAAGGUUGCCACUAUGUCAUCAGCACGGUAUGGACCAAAAAUUGGCUGGUAACAGCCAGCCGGACGAAAUCUGCCGAAAGGCGGGACAAAGCCGGGGUUCAAACCGGGAUGGCCACUGGCUCAAGACAAGAGCCGUGAAAACCAUCCGCCCCGGCGGCGAUGCGACAAACCGCAGCGCUGCCAAGCAAGAUGAGCGCAACCUGAGAGGUAAGAGGCGAGACCCGUUGCACGGGCCAACGCACCGCCAAAAGCGGUGGCCGACCUUGUGCCAGGGAGUGGAGAGGCAAAUCACUUGCAGAUGUCUCUUCGCCGAGUCCGGAAGCCCGGGGCUGCAACCCCGAGCCAAAGGGCAAAUAAGCCUCACUCGAAAAUUCAGGAUCGCAAGACCCUGAACGGCCCCGUCAUGAGGCCGACAACUCCGCGAGUCACGGAGAGUGGCGUCGGGGAGCCAUCGACCUGCAAUGCAGGUGCCCAACGAUGGCACAUGGGAAAGAGAGCGUGGCGAACUCC
rnacentral:sRNA from 12 species